CACAUUGCAACUGAAUUUGGGGGUUCAUUGAGCUUGACCCUGUUCAUGCAACUGACUUUCAAGUUCCCGUUGAUUGUACUAGCGACAAAGCUUGCUACGAAACCUUGAGAGGCCACAAUCAAGACACUUUCAUAUGUUCAAGGAUGGUGUGUUUCAUUCUUACAUGCUCGUUGCAACGAAGAAACAUAUAUUACUGAAGGCAUCGACAAAAUUACUAAAAAAACUUUGAAACUAUUUCUACAAAUUCUCCUACCUCCUUGGAUGUGAUGAGAGUAGCUAAAUAUUUUACGUUGUACCAUAUGAUUUUCUAUUUAUAUUUAACAUACUGGUGUUUCAAUGGCAUCUGGAUAUGUGACUUAUUAUCCUUUUAUUUUCUAUUUAAUAGUAAUUGGAUGUUAGGAAAUAGAUUGUUUUAACUA